GCCGGCAACCAAAUCUCUCUCCACGUGUCCGAUCGUCGCUGGAUUUCGUAAGCUAAGGAGGUGUUUGAGCGUGGUAAGUCAUUGGAUGGGUGACCACCAGUGCAUACCAGGUGUUGUAGGCA
rnacentral:rRNA from 1 species